CUGAUGGAGGAGUUUAUUACUGUGUGGCCACCAAUCAGCUUGGUGAUCAAACAUCCUCAGAGAUCCAUCUGACUAUAGAAGGUAACUAAUAAAGGUACUUCAGUAAUCAAUAUUGUUACAUUCCCAUAGUGUCUUCAUUUAGUCACUGUUGUUUUUUUCAUCUUGUCUUGAGGUGGAGUUGAUCAUCUUCUAUUGGGUGCAGUUCUUGGAGGAAUCAUUGGGAUCAUCGUGCUCAUCGGCCUGGUUGUCUUCGUUUGGCGUUUCAAGUCUCCACAUCCAACUGUACAUCAGAGUCAGAAUCAGCCUGUUGGAGUGACAGUGACAACAGAAGAAGGAGGCGCGCACUAUGGAGAGAUUAACUUCUCGGGGCUCAGAUCUGGACCGUCUUCGGUCUCGGAGCAGGACGGUGGACAGCAGGAGGACACUUUGUAUGCGCAGGUCAAAGUGUCCAAGGCAGCAGACAACGUCACACGGACUUCUGGCGUCCCAGAGGUUCUCUACGCUCAAGUGAAGAGAAAAUGAGACGUUUCUUGUCACUUUUGGGUUUUAUUGUUAAUAUGCUUUUUACAUAAAUAACAAGCUUCAUCUGUCAGUUUAUGGAGAAAAAGAAUUGUAAGAAAAUGUAAUCUUCACUGCUCACAGUUAAUUAAAGGGGAACUUCAAACCUCCACAUCCUGCAGCACCCUGCAAUUUUAUACAUUGACAUAUUGAGGUAUUCACGAUUAGUAUAAAUAAUAGUCCCACUGCUCUAAAUAGAGUAAGUAAGUAUAAGUAUUCUCAAAGAAAGCCCUGUUAAUAUAUCAGCUUAUGGUUUUUUUUGUUGCAUAUUUUAAAAGGUGUCUUCAAAACUCAUUUAGUUAUCUUUUGGAUUAAUGUUUUAUUGUUCUAUUUUGUCUUCUUCAAAAGACAAUUUACUGAAUUACAAGAUAUGUAUUAAUUGCAACGUAAUAAAAAACCUAUACAC